UCUAAUACCGGAUACCACUACCGCAGCAUCUGUGGUGGUUGGAAAGCUCCGGCGGUGAAGGAUGAGCCCGCGGCCUAUCAGCUUGUUGGUGAGGUAAUGGCUCACCAAGGCGACGACGGG
rnacentral:rRNA from 1 species